UACGUAGGUGGCAAGCGUUAUCCGGAAUUAUUGGGCGUAAAGAGCUCGUAGGCGGUCUGUCGCGUCGGCUGUGAAAUCCCGAGGCUCAACCUCGGGUCUGCAGUCGAUACGGGCAAACUGGAGUGUUGCAGGGGAGACUGGAAUUCCUGGUGUAGCGGUGAAAUGCGCAGAUAUCAGGAGGAACACCGGUGGCGAAGGCGGCAUCCUGGACCGGUAUUGACGCUGAGGAGCGAAAGCCAGGGGAGCAAACGGG
rnacentral:rRNA from 1 species